rnacentral:rRNA from 1 species
AUUGAACGCUGGCGGCAGGCUUAACACAUGCAAGUCGAGCGGGGGAGGUUGCUUCGGUAACUGACCUAGCGGCGGACGGGUGAGUAAUACUUAGGAAUCUGCCUAUUAAUGGGGGACAACAUCCCGAAAGGGAUGCUAAUACCGCAUACGCCCUACGGGGGAAAGCAGGGGAUCACUUGUGACCUUGCGUUAAUAGAUGAGCCUAAGUCGGAUUAGGUAGUUGGUGGGGUAAAGGCCUACCAAGGCGACGAUCUGUAGCGGGUCCGAGAGGAUGAUCCACCACACUGGGACUGAGACACGGCCCAGACUCCUACGGGAGGCAGCAGUGGGGAAUAUUGGACAAUGGGGGGAACCCUGAUCCAGCCAUGCCGCGUGUGUGAAGAAGGCCUUAUGGUUGUAAAGCACUUUAAGCGAGGAGGAGGCUCUUUUGGUUAAUACCCAAGAUGAGUGGACGUUACUCGCAGAAUAAGCACCGGCUAACUCUGUGCCAGCAGCCGCCGUAAGAC